rnacentral:rRNA from 1 species
GACGAACGCUGGCGGCGUGCUUAACACAUGCAAGUCGAACGGAAAGGCCCUGCUUUUGUUGGGUGCUCGAGUGGCGAACGGGUGAGUAACACGUGAGUAACCUGCCCUUGACUUUGGGAUAACUUCAGGAAACUGGGGCUAAUACCGGAUAGGAGCUCCUGCUGCAUGGUGUGGGUUGGAAAGUUUCGGCGGUUGGGGAUGGACUCGCUGGUUAUCAGCUUGUUGGUGGGGUAGUGGAUUACCAAGGCUUUGACGGGUAGCCGGCCUGAGAGGGGGAACGGCGACAUUGGGACUGAGAUAGGGACCAGAAUGCUACGGGAGGCAGCAGUGGGGAAUAUUGCAGAAUGGGCGGAAGCGUGAUGCAGAAACGCCGCGUGCGGGAUGACGGGCUUCGGGUUGUAAACAGAUUUCGCCUGUGACGAAGAGUGAGUGACGGUAAUGGGUAAAGAAGCACCGGCUAACUACGUG